GUCCACGCCGUAAACGAUGAAUGCCAGUCGUCGGGUAGCAUGCUAUUCGGUGACACACCUAACUGAUUAAGCAUUCCGCCUGGGGAGUACGGCCGCAAGGUUAAAACUCAAAGGAAUUGACGGGGGGCCCGCACAAGCGGUGGAGCAUGUGGUUUAAUUCGAAGCAACGCGCAGAACCUUACCAACCCUUGACAUGGGUAUCGCGGCUCUGGAGACAGAGCCUUCAGUUCGGCUGGAUACCACACAGGUGCUGCAUGGCUGUCGU
rnacentral:rRNA from 1 species